rnacentral:lncRNA from 1 species
AAAAAACGCGAGAAAACAAAAAAAAAGAAAAGAGAAAAAAAAAAGCAAAAAUAAAAGUAAAAGAAAAGAAAAAAAAAGAAAGAAAAAAAGGGGGUGCACGUGAAUAAAAUUGGAGAAGGUGCUACACGAGAUGAAUUGUAUUUGAUUUUCUUGGAAAAAUGCCCAUAAACAAUUAAUAUUAAUGCAGGAAAGAUCACUUUAGAAUAUUUUCGAAAUUGUGUUUUAUUUGCUAAUAAUUCGAAUCAACAUUAUGACAAUCAUUGCCAGGAAUAAUUAAAAAUAAUAUAUUGAUUGUUGUAUUCAAUUUCUUCCUAAAGAGAAAAAUAUGAUUUUUAAUUUGAUUCAAUCAAG